ensembl:lncRNA
GAAUAAUCUUGGGUCACAUAGGACAGGCAUUUAAUUGCAACCUGUGCAAUCUGAGAGGGCUACCUAAAAAUAAUUAUAAAGUACCAAACCACCAAAACUUAGAAUAUGGGGAGGAAAAUAAUGCAGAAUAGUGUAAAAGUUCUUGCCUUGAGGGACUAGAUGAUUGAUGGUGCCAUUCACUGGAAAGAGGCAAAAGAACAAGGGAAAAAGCAAGACCAGGAUGAAGAACACGCAUUUCACUCUGUACAUGAUGAGUUUCAAGUACUUCAGGAAUCUCUAAGUGGAGAGGAGUAGUAGGUAGAUGGAUAUACAUUUCUGAAUCUAAAGAGACCUAUUCCAGAAAUGAAGCUCUGGGAUUCAUCACCUUAUAAAAGAUACUUAAAAUCAUGGGAGUAAGUAAGAUCACUCAGGAAGAGUGGGUAGAAUGAGAAGAAAAAAGACAAAAGGCAAAAUCCCAAGGAACAUCCUUAUGCAAAGGAUAAAAGAAGGAAAACACAAAGAGAUAGAAAAAGAUUGGCCAGAGAUGACAUGUAAAAGGAAAAUUAAGUUUUGACAAGAGCUAUGGAAUGAGAGAAGUAGAAGCCAUAUAAAAGUGACUUGUGGUGUGAUUAGACAAUGAAGAUCUUUUCAGCUGGAGCUCCUUACUUGGUCUGUGCCUUAGAAGAUGAUGAACCUUGUAAAGUGCAUGCUGGCUGCUGCCCAGAGGUACCUGAUCAUGGAGAACUUCAUCUCCCCUGAGAAGAACAAGAUUAUGAACUAGCUUUUCCUAGACUGCCAAGAGGAGUAGUGGAAGUUCCAGCCCCUCCUUCCUAGUGGAGCCAAUAGCAGCCAAAUAAAGCGGCCAACAUCUGUGGUGGCCUACAAGAGGCCUAUUAGCCAGUAUGCUCGGGUUGCCAUGGCAAUGGGGGGUCCCGCCCCAGGUACAGGGCUGAGAACAUCUUGUUUCUGGCAUUGGACAUGUCCCCGCCAGUGGUCUUUGAGAUGGAAUUUUCUCAUGAACAAGAACAAGACCCCGGUGCACUACAUAUGGAGAGGCUCAAGUGGUUGAACAGCGUCUGGAAAGACCUUCCACAUCUAAAGUCCGGAAAUCCGUAUCUUGGUGCCAGAGUCCUCAGUGGCCUCCACCUCCCACCACACAUGCCUCGCUGACUGCCUCUACUGCUUUGCUCCCCACGACAGUGUUCGACCAUGAAUGACAACCUUCUAUCAGGCUGCCUGUGCCUCCAGACCCCAGGGACUGGGCUGCCGACCCAGGCUCAUCUCACUGAAGCUCAGUAUGCUUGCAUGUGUGUGCGUAUGUUGCGGGGGGACCCCUGGCAGGCAUGCCUCUACUGGCUCUUAGCCUCCUUUAUUUAAUUAAUGUUAUUUAUUCAUGGAGCUCAGUUCCUGUGGGAAAGGAGCCCUUGCCUGAGCCUGCCGUGUGCACUGCCCAGCCUCCUCCUCUUCUGACUUUAGACUCCCCUGCCCCAGUCAGACUUUGUUCUCCUUCCGGUCAGUUGCCCGCAGAAGGGAAGACGCAGGUAUCUAUGGCUAUUUUUUCUAUCUGGCUUGCCCUGCAAUCUCCAUCUCCUCCUAUGCUGCAGGUGAGCAGCUCCUGAGCACUUUCUGGGACCUAGAGAAAUACAAGGUGUGCGAGGAGGACAGGAGACAUCCAUCCUAAUGAUGGUGAGCCUGUGCUUCCCGUGCAGGGAGCCCCGCUCUCAGCUUUCUGGGCCUCAAACAGCCUCUUUCCACUUCUUGGGCUCCUUAUCAAGGACUCCAGGGACCUCAUCUGCACAGCCCAUGCUCUUCAGCUUUGGCAAGAACUGAUGGCUUCCCAAACUGCUUCCUGCCCACCCUCCCAACUCAUGGAAGGGAACUGUGAACCGACCAGUUGCUGCCUCUUUGGGACCUACAGGACGUGGAAUGGUAAUGGAGACAGUGCGGACAGUCAUCAAGGGAGGUCCAUUUGGUUCUGUCCCCUCUGAUAAGUCACUUUGGCUGACAAGCAAUCAGGCCAACUCUCCAUCUUUGAGAUGCUGUUCCUUCCCGCUUUCAUCAUUCCUUGCAGCUGCCCAGAUCCCUGCUGCUAGUGGGAGGAUCAGUAUUCUUUUCCCCCAGCUAAACAAAGGUACCAGAAUCUGUUGCUUCUCCCCAUCAUAGAGCACAGGAGAUGGAGAGCCAGGGACAACCUGCCAAUUCUGUCCAGUCCCUCUGUUUUUGAAUCACAUUUGUUGGCCCUGUUUUAUUGACAAGACUGACCCAUCAGCAUUGUGCAAAUUGAUCCCCAGGGAAAUCCUCUCACUCCCCUUUGUGACAUCCCAAGAUGUCUCCAG